rnacentral:lncRNA from 1 species
AUGUAAUUUUGGACAAGUUUAAAUCUGCUAGAUAUUUUAAAAGAUAUUUUGGAGAAAAUAUAUCUUAAGAUAUUUUACUUGAUAAUUGUUAAAUAAUUAUCUUAUUUAACUAUAUCAAUAAAUAUCAAAAGAUAAUAUUUGCCAAAUCUUUUUGAUCUAGGAAAGAUAUUAUCUAAUAUUCUCAAAAUCUGAUUAAAUCUGUUGAAUAUUUGAAAGAUAUUAGAUAUAAGAUAAAAUAUUUUAUCAACAGAAUAUUCAAAGUCCAAGCCCAAUCAAGUCCUAUAUAAAGAGACCCAGGGGAGGCAUAAAGGGGAGCUUGAUUCAUUCAUCCACCACUGCUUUCAUUUUUCUUUCAUUAUGUGUUUCUAAGCUCCUAGGGUUAUUCUGCUGUAAUUUCAUGAUGGAUUCUGAGGUUAAGUGAAUUAAUGCAAUUGUUUAUUUUGAUUAUUGAUUUAAGUUUAUCUCUCUAUGUCUUUCAUCUCUCUAUCAUAUUAAAAGCAAAGAUUUUUGCAUCAUUAUGUGUUUGAAUCUACAUGCAUAUUAAUUAUAUGAGUUCUAGGGUUUCUAGAUUUAAUUGAGAAUCUACUUUGAUUUAAUUUAGGAACUUUCAUAUGAUUAAAUGGUUUUUACUAUCAAUUGAGAAUGUACUUUGGUUGGUAGUAAUAAUUUCAACUAAAAUCAAUUGAGAAUUUACUUUGAUUGAUUAACUUUUAAUUUGGUUAGAGAUUUA